rnacentral:rRNA from 1 species
AGUUCGGAUCGCAGGCUGCAACCCGCCUGCGUGAAGUUGGAAAUUGCUAGUAAUCGCGGAUCAGCAUGCCGCGGUGAAUACGUUCCCGGGCCUUGUACACACCGCCCGUCACACCAUGGGAGCCGGUAAUACCCGAAGUCAGUAGCCUAACCGCAAGGGGGGCGCUGCCGAAGGUAGGAUUGGCGACUGGGGUGAAGUCGUAACAAGGUAAC